rnacentral:rRNA from 1 species
CCUACGGGUGGCAGCAGUGAGGAAUAUUGGUCAAUGGACGAGAGUCUGAACCAGCCAAGUAGCGUGAGGGAUGACUGCCCUAUGGGUUGUAAACUUCUUUUAUAUGGGAAUAAAACGUUCCACGUGUGGGAUUUUGUAUGUACCAUAUGAAUAAGGAUAGGCUAAGUCCGUGCCAGCAGCCGCGGUAAUACGGAGGAUACGAGCGUUAUCCGGAUUUAUUGGGUUUAAAGGGAGCGUAGGUGGAUUGUUAAGUCAGUUGUGAAAGUUUGCGGCUCAACCGUAAAAUGGCAGUUGAAACUGGCAGUCUUGAGUACAGUAGAGGUGGGCGGAAUUCGCGGUGUAGCGGUGAAAUGCUUAGAUAUCACGAAGAACUCCGAUUGCGAAGGCAGUUCACUGGACUGCAACUGACACUGAGGCUCGAAAGUGUGGGUAUCAAACAGGAUUAGAUACCCCUGUAGUC